CAUCGCGAGGUGGAAUCUGAAAGAAGUCAGCGGCAAACAUCUGACCCAACGGACAGAAACUUGAUAUAAGGCUAUAUGUGAGGAUGAGAUGGCUAAAAGCAUCAAAGUCCGAUAACUACCCGGAAUCACAGAUGGUAAAUCAAGUGGGUAUAAGAUGGAAAGAUG
rnacentral:ncRNA from 1 species